UGCCUGCCAGUGACAACUGUUUAACGGCCGCGGUAUCCUGACCGUGCAAAGGUAGCAUAAUCAUUUGUUCUCUAAAUAAGGACUUGUAUGAAUGGCCACACGAGGGUUUUACUGUCUCUUACUUCCAAUCAGUGAAAUUGACCUUCCCGUGAAGAGGCGGGAAUGCAUAAAUAAGACGAGAAGACCCUAUGGAGCUUUAACUAACCAACCCAAAGAAAAUAAAUUUAACCAUUGAGGAACAACAACAAUCUCCAUGAGUUGGUAGUUUCGGUUGGGGUGACCUCGGAGAAUAAAAAAUCCUCCGAACGAUUUUAAAGACUAGACCCACAAGUCAAAUCACUCUAUCGCUCAUUGAUCCAAAAAUUUGAUCAACGGAACAAGUUACCCUAGGGAUAACAGCGCAAUCCUAUUUAAGAGUCCAUAUCGACAAUAGGGUUUACGACCUCGAUGUUGGAUCAGGACAUCCUGAUGGUGCAACCGCUAUCAAAGGUUCGUUUGUUCAACGAUUAAAGUCCUAC
rnacentral:rRNA from 1 species